AAUAGAGGCGCGGCUGACAAGAGUAGCGCGUGGGAGCCCGGCCGGGGCGCAGAUCACGGGUGAAAGGGGAUGCCGCCGAAAUGCCGGAAGCACGGCUGGCUGCUGGCGUUGGGCAAGGGGACAACAUCCGCUUGACUGUCAUGGCACAGGCCAUGGAGCGCUAUUC
rnacentral:ncRNA from 1 species